CCUGGUGGCGAGUGGCGAACGGGUGAGUAAUAUAUCGGAACGUGCCCAGUCGUGGGGGAUAACGCAGCGAAAGCUGUGCUAAUACCGCAUAAUCUCUGAGGAGGAAAGCGGGGGACCUUCGGGCCUCGCGCGAUUGGAGCGGCCGAUGUUAGAUUAGGUAGUUGGUGGGGUAAAGGCUCACCAAGCCGACGAUCUAUAGCUGGUCUGAGAGGACGACCAGCCACACUGGAACUGAGACACGGUCCAGACUCC
rnacentral:rRNA from 1 species